rnacentral:lncRNA from 1 species
CGGUCGGGGGUUGCUUUUCCCGCUCCAGGACAAGUUGUCCCCGUUUUCGGGGGCUGUUCCCGGUUCAAAAUCGCGUUUCCCGGUUCAUGGUGGGAUUAUCCCAGUCCGGGACAAGCUGUCCCAGUUCCCGGCUGCUUUUCCCAGUUCAGGGUCACGUUCUCCCGCUCCAGGACAGGUUUUCCCGGUUCCCGGGUGUUAUUCCCGGUUCGGGAUCGCGUUUCCCGGUCCAGGACAACUUGUCCCGGUUUUUGGGGGCUGGUCCCAGUUCGGGGUCGCGUUUCCCGGUUCACAGCCCGGUUCUCCCGGUCCGGGAAAAGUUGUCCCGGUUCUUGGGGGCUGUUCCCAGUUGGGGAUCUCUUUUCCCAGUUCACACCCGGGUUCUCCCAGUCCGGGACUGGGUGUCCCGGUUCAGGGUCGGGUUAUCUCGCUCCAGGACAACUUGUCCCGGUUCCCGCGGACUAUUCCCGGUUCGGGAUCACUUUUCCCGCUUCAGGGUGGGAUUAUCCCAGUCCGGGACAAGCUGUCCCAGUUCCCGGGGCUGUUCCCAGUUCGAGAUCGCGUUUCCCGGUUCACAGCUCGGCUCUCCCGGUCCGGGAAAUGUUGUCCCGGUUUUGGGGGGUUGUUCCCAGUUCGGGAUCACUUUUCCUGGUUCAGGGUCGGGUUGUCCCGGUCCAGGACAAGUUCUCCCGGUUCCCGGGUGUUAUUCCCGGUUCGGGAUCGCGUUUCCCGGUCCAGGACAACUUGUCCCGGUUUUUGGGGGCUGGUCCCAGUUCGGGGUCGCGUUUCCCGGUUCACAGCCCGGUUCUCCCGGUCCGGGAAAUGUUGUCCCGGUUUUGGGGGGUUGUUCCCAGUUCGGGAUCACUUUUCCUGGUUCAGGGUCGGGUUGUCCCGGUCCAGGACAAGUUCUCCCGGUUCCCGGGUGUUAUUCCCGGUUCGGGAUCGCGUUUCCCGGUUCACAGCCCGGUUCUCCCAGUCCGGGAAAAGUUGUCCCGGUUUUUGGUUUGUUUGUUUUUUUUUUGUUCCCGGUUCGAGAUUGCUUUUCCCAGUUCAGGGUCGGAUUCUCCCGGUCCAGGACAACUCGUCCCGGUUCCCGUUCCCGGUUCCCGCGGACUGUUCCCAGUUCGGGAUCUCUUUUCCCACUUCACCCCCGCGUUCUCCCGGUCCGGUCCGCGCUGUUCCCGCUCCCCUGCGCUUUUCCCGGUUCACCCCCCCGGCUCUCCCGCUCCAUUAUCACCGUUACUACAGUUAAUUAUUAUUUUCGGGGUGUGUCGGGUUUUUUUUUCCCGGUACCUUUCGCAGCUCCUGCUCGAUCUCCAGGGCGCGGGUGACGAUGGGGCCGCGCACCGCGUACUCCACGCGGCGGAUGGCGGGGUUCAUGGUGUCGGGGGUCAGCACCCGGCCCCGCCGGACGCCCCCCCCCCCCCCCCCCCCCCCCCCCCCCCCCCCCCCCCCCCCCCCCCCCCCCCCCCCCCCCCCCCCCCCCCCCCCCCCCCCCCCCCCCCCCC